UGCCAUGGCUGGGUGCUGGCUGCCAAGGGCCAUCGAAGCAGCUGCAUCUGGAAUUGAACUGUCAGUGGCACCGGCUGGAGCUCUUGAUCCUCCUCCACUUCAGCAGUGUCUUUGUUUUUUCCUUUUCCUGUGGCCACGAGAGCACCUGCCCGGAGAGAGGAGCUGGCCCAGGGUCACUGCCAUCCCAGCCUGCCUCCCAGAGGGAAUGUGAUGCCACUGGCUGGGCCUCCCAGCAGCUCUUCCCCCUUCAUCCAGCUCAGCCUCACCCUCACCUUCUCCUCCACAACUGAGACAAUGGUUCCAGCCUCCAGGAUAGAAGGACUCCCAGGACACGGCUGGUGCCAGGUCACUACCCAUCUGUCCUGGGAACAGCCCAGCUGGCACUGCAAGGGACAUCUUGAUGCCAUCACACCCCACAAAGAGCUAUAAACCUGCCCUGAGACAUGGAACAGAAGAUCGAUAAUUCC